UAAUACGUAGCCCGGUUGGUGAUGGUGAUGGACUGCUAAUCCAUUGUGCAUUGCACGCGUGGGUUCGAAUCCCAUCUUCGUCAG
rnacentral:tRNA from 1 species